rnacentral:rRNA from 1 species
GGCCGCGGGAAUUCGAUUCAGGCCUAACACAUGCAAGUCGAGCGGUAGAGAGAAGCUUGCUUCUCUAAAAAAAAGCGGACGGGUGAGUAAUGCCUAGGAAUCUGCCUGGUAGUGGGGGAUAACGUCCGGAAACGGACGCUAAUACCGCAUACGUCCUACGGGAGAAAGCAGGGGACCUUCGGGCCUUGCGCUAUCAGAUGAGCCUAGGUCGGAUUAGCUAGUUGGUGGGGUAAUGGCUCAUCAAGGCGACGAUCCGUAACUGGUCUGAGAGGAUGAUCAGUCACACUUUUAUGGAGACACGGUCCAGACUCCUACGGGAGGCAGCAGUGGGGAAUAUUGGACAAU